UAAUGAUCAUUGACCAUAUAUAUCACAUGACAAAUGCUUGUAUAUUAUAGUAUAUAAUGCAUUGUUUGUUUUAAUUUUGCAAUAUGAAUUCAUUCACAGCUGUUAGGGAGGAUGAAUACUACCUGGCAGGAAAGAUGAUUGCUGUGUCAGUUGUGCAUGGAGGUCCAGGACCCCAUUUCCUGUCGAAAGAUCUUGUACAUUAUCUUGCAGGCCAGCCUUCAUUCAAAGCACCAAUUCAUUUAAUAACUGAUGAAGAAAUAGGGAAAGCUUUGCAAGAGAUUUAGAAUGCUGCUUCAUUGGAUGCUCUGCACGAAUGUAUGAUGAGACACAGCACAAUGUUACAGACAGCAGGUUGUCUGAGACAUGUGGCUACUGUGGAAGAAAAGAGAGAAAUUGUUUCAGACUACCUCCAAUGGUAUAUUAUUGACCGCAACUCAUCUGUAAUUGACAGCAACACCCUACUUUGCUGGCCCCUGCCCUGUGCCACUCUGAAAAGCAACUCCCUGCUUUUGACCUUGAGAUACUCUUCAAACCUGACCUCAGUCCUUCGGGGAGUUAUCGAAGACUUAAAGAAAGUCAAACCAUGGGCUACUGGGCAGACUAUCUCCUUGAUUGUGAAGAAGGCCAGGCUGCUGUGUCUGUGGAAGAUAUUUUGAUGUUUGCUACUGGGCUGUCUUCACUUCCCCCAUCUGGCUUGGAACCACUGCCACAAAUACAGUUCCUGGAUGACUCUGCAUUCCCAAUGGCAAAUACAUGUACAAACUCCUUGAAAUUACCACUCCUAGACUCAUGCACUUUGUUUAAGUCACAAAUGGACUUUUGAAUUCAAAAUAGUCCAGGAUUUGGCUGUUUUUAAGCUAAAUGAUGGAUGAUCCCUAGAGUUAAGACUCUGUUGUUAAAGGUUCACUUUAAAGUGCAGUUGGCAAAAUUGUUUUUAUAAUGUAACAGUAUGUGAGCAUGUUUUUUUUCUCACCGUUAACAUUUUGAAAAUGUUUUAGAUUCAUGACUCUCAAACUGGGAUCCCUUUGUGAAUCACUGUUUUAGAUAAAGAAACAAGUAGUUCAAGAAGUUUUGUUUUCUAUACUACAAAGAUUUAAUAAAUACUUAAUACUA